AACGUAGGAGACAAACGUUAUCCGGAGUUCCUGGGCGUAAAGGGCUCGUAGGUGGCCAACUAAGUCAGACGUGAAAUCCCUCGGCUUAACCGGGGAACUGCGUCUGAUACUGGAUGGCUUGAGUUUGGGAGAGGGACGCGGAAUUCCAGGUGUAGCGGUGAAAUGCGUAGAUAUCUGGAGGAACACCGGUGGCGAAGGCGGCGUCCUGGACCAACACUGACACUGAGGAGCGAAAGCCAGGGGAGCAAACGGG
rnacentral:rRNA from 1 species